rnacentral:rRNA from 1 species
AGACGAGGGAUCCUAGCGUUGUUCGGAAUUAUUGGGCGUAAAGCGGGUGCAGGUGGCUCGUUAAGUCAGGCGUGAAAUCCCCGGGCUCAACCUGGGAACUGCGUUUGAUACUGGUAGACUAGAGUAUGGGAGAGGAUGGUAGAAUUCCGAGUGUAGAGGUGAAAUUCGUAGAUAUUCGGAGGAAUACCCGUGGCGAAGGCGGCCAUCUGGACCAUUACUGACGCUGAGGCUCGAAAGCGUGGGGAGC